UACGUAGGGUGCGAGCGUUAAUCGGAAUUACUGGGCGUAAAGCGUGCGCAGGCGGUUGUGCAAGACAGCUGUGAAAUCCCCGGGCUUAACCUGGGAACUGCAUUUGUGACUGCACGGCUAGAGUGUGUCAGAGGGGGGUAGAAUUCCACGUGUAGCAGUGAAAUGCGUAGAUAUGUGGAGGAAUACCGAUGGCGAAGGCAGCCCCCUGGGAUAACACUGACGCUCAUGCACGAAAGCGUGGGGAGCAAACAGG
rnacentral:rRNA from 1 species